CAGAAGUCUUCAGCCCCACUCCAAAUACAGAAGUAAAGAGCUAAAAUGGAGGGAAAGGCAUGCCAUCAGUCUCUAAGAUAAUCAUUAUAACAUCCGAGUCAUGACCCUUUCUAGGUCUCAGGCAAUGAAGAAAAAGUAUAAGCAAAUCUUUGACCUAGUUUCUCCUGAAUAUAACGAGCAGGGGAGCAUGUGAGGACACAGGAAGAAGCCAGAAAGAGAACCCUCACCAGAAACUGACCCUGCUGACAUCUUGAUCCAGAAUGGAAGGAAGGAGACCCAGUCUCGAUAGAAAGAAGAAGGAUAGAAGGAUCAGAGAUCAGGCUAGGGCUGCAGGACUCAUGUCUUCCACUAUUUUGUGUCUCCACAACCUGACAAAUACUGCACAGAGUAGGUACUAACAAAGCCCUUUAUUGGUGAUGACAUGAUGCUGCAUCUUGCUUUCACUGAAGACAAUGCCUUCCAGUGGCAUCCUUGUAGAUAAACUAUGGAAGUCUAGGAAGGAUGACAGUAUCCUCUGGUGGGUGUCAAGCUGCUUGAACAAUGGAACUUGGCAAGUGUUAAACGGCUAGGUAGAUGCAAAGGUGGAGAGCCAACCUUCCUGGUCGUGCAUUUUCUUCCUCAGCAUCAAUGAUUUGGGUCAAGACACAGAGAGUAAGCUUAACUAAUUGUCAGGCCUCUGAGCCCAGGCCAGGCCAUCAUAUCCCCUGUGACCUGCACGUAUACAUCCAGAUGGCCUGAAGCAACUGAAGAUACACAAAAGAAGUGAAAAUAGCCUUAACUGAUGACAUUCCACCAUUGUGAUUUGUUUCUGCCUCACCCUAACGAAUGUAUUUUGUAAUCUCCCCCACCCUUAAGAAGGUUCUUUGUAAUUCUCCCCACCUUUAAGAAUGUACUUUGUUGAGAUCCGCCCCCUGCCCACAAAACAUUGCUCCUAACUCCACCGCCUAUCCCAAAACCUGUAAGAACUAAUGAUAAUCCCACCACCCUUUGCUGACUCUCUUUUCAGACUCAGCUCGCUUGCACCCAGGUGAAAUAAACAGCCUUGUUGCUCACACAA
rnacentral:lncRNA from 10 species